rnacentral:rRNA from 1 species
AGCGUACACGGUGGAUGCCCUGGCAGUCAGAGGCGAUGAAGGACGUGCUAAUCUGCGAUAAGCGUCGGUGAGGUGAUAUGAACCGUUAUAACCGGCGAUUUCCGAAUGGGGAAACCCAGUGUGUUUCGACACACUAUCAUUAACUGAAUCCAUAGGUUAAUGAGGCGAACCGGGGGAACUGAAACAUCUAAGUACCCCGAGGAAAAGAAAUCAACCGAGAUUCCCCCAGUAGCGGCGAGCGAACGGGGAGGAGCCCAGAGCCUGAAUCAGUGUGUGUGUUAGUGGAAGCGUCUGGAAAGGCGCGCGAUACAGGGUGACAGCCCCGUACACAAAAAUGCACAUGCUGUGAGCUCGAUGAGUAGGGCGGGACACGUGGUAUCCUGUCUGAAUAUGGGGGGACCAUCCUCCAAGGCUAAAUACUCCUGACUGACCGAUAGUGAACCAGUACCGUGAGGGAAAGGCGAAAAGAACCCCGGCGAGGGGAGUGAAAAAGAACCUGAAACCGUGUACGUACAAGCAGUGGGAGCCUCUUAAUGGGGUGACUGCGUACCUUUUGUAUAAUGGGUCAGCGACUUAUAUUCUGUAGCAAGGUUAACCGAAUAGGGGAGCCGAAGGGAAACCGAGUCUUAACUGGGCGUUAAGUUGCAGGGUAUAGACCCGAAACCCGGUGAUCUAGCCAUGGGCAGGUUGAAGGUUGGGUAACACUAACUGGAGGACCGAACCGACUAAUGUUGAAAAAUUAGCGGAUGACUUGUGGCUGGGGGUGAAAGGCCAAUCAAACCGGGAGAUAGCUGGUUCUCCCCGAAAGCUAUUUAGGUAGCGCCUCGUGAAUUCAUCUCCGGGGGUAGAGCACUGUUUCGGCAAGGGGGUCAUCCCGACUUACCAACCCGAUGCAAACUGCGAAUACCGGAGAAUGUUAUCACGGGAGACACACGGCGGGUGCUAACGUCCGUCGUGAAGAGGGAAACAACCCAGACCGCCAGCUAAGGUCCCAAAGUCAUGGUUAAGUGGGAAACGAUGUGGGAAGGCCCAGACAGCCAGGAUGUUGGCUUAGAAGCAGCCAUCAUUUAAAGAAAGCGUAAUAGCUCACUGGUCGAGUCGGCCUGCGCGGAAGAUGUAACGGGGCUAAACCAUGCACCGAAGCUGCGGCAGCGACACUAUGUGUUGUUGGGUAGGGGAGCGUUCUGUAAGCCUGUGAAGGUGGCCUGUGAGGGUUGCUGGAGGUAUCAGAAGUGCGAAUGCUGACAUAAGUAACGAUAAAGCGGGUGAAAAGCCCGCUCGCCGGAAGACCAAGGGUUCCUGUCCAACGUUAAUCGGGGCAGGGUGAGUCGACCCCUAAGGCGAGGCCGAAAGGCGUAGUCGAUGGGAAACAGGUUAAUAUUCCUGUACUUGGUGUUACUGCGAAGGGGGGACGGAGAAGGCUAUGUUGGCCGGGCGACGGUUGUCCCGGUUUAAGCGUGUAGGCUGGUUUUCCAGGCAAAUCCGGAAAAUCAAGGCUGAGGCGUGAUGACGAGGCACUACGGUGCUGAAGUGACAAAUGCCCUGCUUCCAGGAAAAGCCUCUAAGCAUCAGGUAACAUCAAAUCGUACCCCAAACCGACACAGGUGGUCAGGUAGAGAAUACCAAGGCGCUUGAGAGAACUCGGGUGAAGGAACUAGGCAAAAUGGUGCCGUAACUUCGGGAGAAGGCACGCUGAUAUGUAGGUGAAGCGACUUGCUCGUGGAGCUGAAAUCAGUCGAAGAUACCAGCUGGCUGCAACUGUUUAUUAAAAACACAGCACUGUGCAAACACGAAAGUGGACGUAUACGGUGUGACGCCUGCCCGGUGCCGGAAGGUUAAUUGAUGGGGUUAGCGGUAACGCGAAGCUCUUGAUCGAAGCCCCGGUAAACGGCGGCCGUAACUAUAACGGUCCUAAGGUAGCGAAAUUCCUUGUCGGGUAAGUUCCGACCUGCACGAAUGGCGUAAUGAUGGCCAGGCUGUCUCCACCCGAGACUCAGUGAAAUUGAACUCGCUGUGAAGAUGCAGUGUACCCGCGGCAAGACGGAAAGACCCCGUGAACCUUUACUAUAGCUUGACACUGAACAUUGAGCCUUGAUGUGUAGGAUAGGUGGGAGGCUUUGAAGUGUGGACGCCAGUCUGCAUGGAGCCGACCUUGAAAUACCACCCUUUAAUGUUUGAUGUUCUAACGUUGGCCCGUAAUCCGGGUUGCGGACAGUGUCUGGUGGGUAGUUUGACUGGGGCGGUCUCCUCCUAAAGAGUAACGGAGGAGCACGAAGGUUGGCUAAUCCUGGUCGGACAUCAGGAGGUUAGUGCAAUGGCAUAAGCCAGCUUGACUGCGAGCGUGACGGCGCGAGCAGGUGCGAAAGCAGGUCAUAGUGAUCCGGUGGUUCUGAAUGGAAGGGCCAUCGCUCAACGGAUAAAAGGUACUCCGGGGAUAACAGGCUGAUACCGCCCAAGAGUUCAUAUCGACGGCGGUGUUUGGCACCUCGAUGUCGGCUCAUCACAUCCUGGGGCUGAAGUAGGUCCCAAGGGUAUGGCUGUUCGCCAUUUAAAGUGGUACGCGAGCUGGGUUUAGAACGUCGUGAGACAGUUCGGUCCCUAUCUGCCGUGGGCGCUGGAGAACUGAGGGGGGCUGCUCCUAGUACGAGAGGACCGGAGUGGACGCAUCACUGGUGUUCGGGUUGUCAUGCCAAUGGCACUGCCCGGUAGCUAAAUGCGGAAGAGAUAAGUGCUGAAAGCAUCUAAGCACGAAACUUGCCCCGAGAUGAGUUCUCCCUGACUCCUUGA